UACGUAGGGUGCGAGCGUUGUCCGGAAUUAUUGGGCGUAAGGAGCUCGUAGGCGGUGUGUCGCGUCGGCCGUGAAAACCUGGGGCUUAACUCUGGGCGUGCGGUCGAUACGGGCAUCACUGGAGUUCGGCAGGGGAGACUGGAAUUCCUGGUGUAGCGGUGAAAUGCGCAGAUAUCAGGAGGAACACCGGUGGCGAAGGCGGGUCUCUGGGCAGUAACUGACGCUGAGGAGCGAAAGCGUGGGGAGCGAACAGG
rnacentral:rRNA from 1 species